CAGUUUUUUUCCAGAAUUUGCCAUUCAUCUCACCAUUCUUCUAUUGAUAUAAAUUUGUGCUGUUAUGAAUUUCCCUGUGAACCAGUUAUAACAUCUGCCUGUUAUAAGACCAUGUACAAUCCCAGUUCAUCGCCAGUGACAGUUUUGACACUUGCAUUGCUAUGACUUGCUGGGGCCUACCUGUGCUUCACUUGUGGUCAGCAAUGGGGUUCUCUCUGCCAGCCAGCUGCCAGGUAAUGAGCUCUACAUUUUACUGAGAUGGUUAUAGCCAAGUGUAUAUAAAAUGAUGGCAGAUACACUGAAAAUUGGCAUUCCUGCAAUCAGCUGUGCUAAAUCCUGAAUAAUUUUUCUCUUUGUUGCAUUUUGUU